rnacentral:rRNA from 1 species
GAUGAACGCUGGCGGCGUGCCUAAUACAUGCAAGUCGAGCGAACAGACGAGGAGCUUGCUCCUCUGACGUUAGCGGCGGACGGGUGAGUAACACGUGGAUAACCUACCUAUAAGACUGGGAUAACUUCGGGAAACCGGAGCUAAUACCGGAUAAUAUAUUGAACCGCAUGGUUCAAUAGUGAAAGACGGUUUUGCUGUCACUUAUAGCUGGAUCCGCGCCGCAUUAGCUAGUUGGUAAGGUAACGGCUUACCAAGGCGACGAUGCGUAGCCGACCUGAGAGGAUGAUCGGCCACACUGGAACUGAGACACGGUCCAGACUCCUACGGGAGGCAGCAGUAGGGAAUCUUGCGCAAUGGGCGAAAGCCUGAUGGAGCAACGCCGCGUGAGUGAUGAAGGUCUUCGGAUCGUAAAACUCUGUUAUUAGGGAAGAACAAAUGUGUAAGUAACUAUGCACGUAUUGACGGUACCUAAAGAGAAAGCAACGGCUAACUACGUG